rnacentral:tRNA from 1 species
GCCGACGUGGCGGAAUUGGUAGACGCACUACCUUGAGGUGGUAGCGGGGAAACCCGUCCGAGUUCGAGUCUCGGCGUCGGCACCA